UACGUAGGGCGCAAGCGUUGUCCGGAAUUAUUGGGCGUAAAGAGCUCGUAGGCGGCUUGUCACGUCGGGUGUGAAAGCCCGGGGCUUAACCCCGGGUCUGCAUUCGAUACGGGCUGGCUGGAGUGUGGUAGGGGAGAUCGGAAUUCCUGGUGUAGCGGUGAAAUGCGCAGAUAUCAGGAGGAACACCGGUGGCGAAGGCGGUUCUCUGGCAUUACCUGACGCUGAGGAGCGAAAGCAUGGGGAGCGAACAGG
rnacentral:rRNA from 1 species